AACGAACGCUGGCGGCAUGCUUUACACAUGCAAGUCGAACGGCAGCACGGACUUCGGUCUGGUGGCGAGUGGCGAACGGGUGAGUAAUACAUCGGAACGUACCCAGUAAUGGGGGAUAACUAUCCGAAAGGAUAGCUAAUACCGCAUACGCCCUACGGGGGAAAGAGGGGGAUCGCAAGACCUCUUGUUAUUGGAGCGGCCGAUGGCUGAUUAGCUAGUUGGUAGGGUAAAGGCCUACCAAGGCAACGAUCAGUAGCGGGUCUUAGAGGACGAUCCGCCACACUGGAACUGGGACACGGUCCAGACUCCUACGGGAGGCAGCAGUGGGGAAUCUUGGACAAUGGGCGCAAGCCUGAUCCAGCAAUGCCGCGUGCGUGAAGAAGGCCUUCGGGUUGUAAAGCGCUUUUGUCAGGGAGCAAAUCCUUGUGGCUAAUACCCACCGGGGAUGAGAGUACCUGAAGAAUAAGGACCGGCUAACUACGUGCCAGCCGCCGCCGUAACAC
rnacentral:rRNA from 1 species